GAUGAACGCUGGCGGCGUGCCUAAUACAUGCAAGUCGAGCGAACAGAUAAGGAGCUUGCUCCUUUUACGUUAGCGGCGGACGGGUGAGUAACACGUGGGUAACCUACCUAUAAGACUGGAAUAACUCCGGGAAACCGGGGCUAAUGCAGGAUAACAUGUUGAACCGCAUGGUUCUACAGGGAAAGGCGGCUUUGCUGUCACUUAUAGAUGGACCCGCGCCGUAUUAGCUAGUUGGUGAGGUAACGGCCCACCAAGGCAACGAUACGUAGCCGACCUGAGAGGGUGAUCGGCCCCCCUGGAACUGAGACACGGUCCAGACUCCUACGGGAGGCAGCAGUAGGGAAUCUUCCGCAAGGGGCGAAAGCCUGACGGAGCAACGCCGCGUGAGUGAUGAAGGUCUUCGGAUCGUAAAACUCUGUUAUUAGGGAAGAACAAAUGCGUAAGUAACUGUGCGCGUCUUGACGGUAUCUAAUCAGAAAGCCACGGCUAACUACGUG
rnacentral:rRNA from 1 species